AUUGAACGCUGGCGGCAUGCCUUACACAUGCAAGUCGAACGGUAACAGGUUAAGCUGACGAGUGGCGAACGGGUGAGUAAUGUAUCGGAACGUGCCCAAUCGUGGGGGAUAACUACUCGAAAGAGUAGCUAAUACCGCAUAAGAUCUACGGAUGAAAGCGGGGGAUCGCAAGACCUCGCGCGAGUGGAGCGGCCGAUGUCAGAUUAGGUAGUUGGUGGGGUAAAAGCCCACCAAGCCAACGAUCUGUAGCUGGUCUGAGAGGACGACCAGCCACACUGGGACGGAGACACGGCCCAGACUCCUACGGGAGGCAGCAGUGGGGAAUUUUGGACAAUGGGCGCAAGCCUGAUCCAGCAAUGCCGCGUGCAGGAUGAAGGCCUUCGGGUUGUAAACUGCUUUUGUACGGAACGAAAAGAUUUGGGCUAAUACCCCGAAUCCAUGACGGUACCGUAAGAAUAAGCACCGGCUAACUACGUGCCAGCAGCCGCCGUAA
rnacentral:rRNA from 1 species